UACGGGGGGAGCAAGUGUUGUUCGGAUUUACUGGGCGUAAAGGGCGCGUAGGCGGCGUAACAAGUCACUUGUGAAAUCUCCGGGCUUAACCCGGAGCGGCCAAGUGAUACUGUUGUGCUAGAGUGCGGAAGGGGCUACUGGAAUUCUCGGUGUAGCAGUGAAAUGCGUAGAUAUCGAGAGGAACACCUGCGGCGAAGGCGGGUAGCUGGGCCGACACUGACGCUGAGGCGCGAAAGCCAGGGGAGCGAACGGG
rnacentral:rRNA from 1 species